rnacentral:rRNA from 1 species
UACGGGGGGAGCAAGCGUUGUUCGGAUUUACUGGGCGUAAAGGGCGCGUAGGCGGCGUGACAAGUCACUUGUGAAAUCUCCGGGCUUAACCCGGAGCGGCCAAGUGAUACUGUCGUGCUAGAGUGCGGAAGGGGCUACUGGAAUUCUCGGUGUAGCGGUGAAAUGCGUAGAUAUCGGGAGGAACACCAGUGGCGAAGGCGACUACCUGGCCUGUUCUUGACGCUGAGGCGCGAAAGCUAGGGGAGCAAACGGG